AUGUCCAGUCUCCUGCAGAGAGAUGCACUAGUUCGCCCUUGCUGCUGUGGUCCAGGGCUGAUGAGGAGGCCUGGCAGAGUUUUCCGUGUUUGUGAUCUAUUACUCCGUGGAGUAUCCCAUAUUGGAUUCCUUCUCAGAAAUCCUGAUACGACCAGUGCCCUGGGGACAAGUGGGGAGAGGCCCUACCAGAAGCUGCCAUCAUAUCCUUGUCAUUGCCAGCAGCUAGACAAGCUCCCAAAUCUCCAUAUGGAAUAUCCCACUCAGACCAUCUCCUAUAUUUCUGAAACACGGGUUCUAGUGACCUCACUUCUAUACUUCACAGACCUCAUCAUCCCUUCCCGUCCAGUGGUCCCUUCAUGUUCUCAACGUCUAUCAACCACACCUUUUUUAUUUUGUUCUUUAUUCCAGUUAGAUUGCAUGAUCCAUCAUUAUAAUCACUCUUUGAAAAUAGCUUCAACCUUUUUGCCCAUCUUUCUCCAUCACACUCACCUGAUAAAAUCUUGCACUGAGAUGAGCUCAGACAGCCUCUAUCUUCAUGUCUGCUCCCUUCAGGCAAACGCUGCUUCAGAAAAUUCACACAACUCUGCUGAUUUGUUUCCCUUCGAAUUCACGCAGACGUUAAAUGGACUCUCUAUAGCGCCCAGUAACCCUACUAAGUUGUCUCCAACUAUGAAUUAUUGGUGAACCAGUAAUUUUAUCAGUUAUAUCACUCUGUUGAUAAAUUUUCAGAAAUUCUGCUGAUCAUGAAUUCAACUUCCUGCAUAUAAUUUGUACUACUUAAUACUUAUAGUCCUCUUAAGAUUAUUUCUAUCAUGUUGCACACUUCUUUCUGCCCAGCAUAUUUUAUUUCCAGUGCAUCUUUUGUGUUUUCUUUAGUUUUCUUGAGACUGUAAAGGAAUUGUUGUCUAAAGUGUUGUUUCAUUUAUAGAGGUGAAUUUUCAAAUGUAUCAUCUUCAUUUUUUGUGUGUAUGAUUUUUUGUUGCUGUUUCUGUUAUUCUAUUUUCUUUUGAGUUUUAAAAAUUUAUAUAUCAGUUUGUUUGGAGUUGUUUUCAUUUAAUUAUGGGGGGGGGGAAUUUGCCCCAAAAUGAAACAGAAGGAUUUCCUUGCAUCAUUUCCCUUCCUGCCUCAGCACUCUUCACAGUGUUUCUUGGAUCUAAAGAAUGGAGGUUUAUAUUUUCAGCCAGGCAGGACUACUGCAUAUGGUUGAAGAGCUCGUGCAUUGCACAAGGAUACCCAGCUGAAGGCAUGAGCGGGGAUGGAAAUGCAGCCUACAUUCUGCUCAGCAAGCCCGGGGCCCCACUGUGGAGUGGUGUCUUCCUAGGGGAAGAGGCUCCCUCUUCAUCUCACAAAGACAUAGUCCACCCAUCCAGCUAUGUGUCUGCAGAGAGGAGACUUCCUUGUGCUCCCACAGACGCAAACCCCUCCUACCUGUCUACAUCUCUGCAUGUAUCUGCCUUCCAUCGGAGCUGCCCGUGCUGGUCUCCUUAGGACCAGGUCUUUGGAUACCAUCCAGCACCGCCCCCCAUCAUAAUGUUGUAAUUUCUUUCAUCUAAAUAAAAGAUCCUCUUAUUCCUAAAUGCUGCUCCA
rnacentral:lncRNA from 1 species